GAUGAACGCUGGCGGCGUGCCUAAUACAUGCAAGUCGAGCGAACAGACGAGUAGCUUGCUCCUCUGACGUUAGCGGCGGACGGGUGAUUAACACUUGGAUAACCUACCUAUAAGACUGUGAUAACUUCGGGAAACCGGAGCUAAUACCGGAUAAUAUAUUGAACCGCAUGGUUCAAUAGUGAAAGACGGUUUUGCUGUCACUUAUAGAUGGAUCCGCGCCGCAUUAGCUAGUUGGUAAGGUAACGGCUUACCAAGGCAACGAUGCGUAGCCGACCUGAGAGGGUGAUCGGCCACACUGGAAGUGAGAAACGGUACAGACACCUAGGGGAGGCAGCAGUAGGGAAUCUUCCGCGAGGGGCGAAAGCCGGACGGAGCAAAGCCGCGGGAGGGAUGAAGGUGUUAGGAUCGGAAAACUCUGUUAGUAGGGAAGAAGAAAUGUGUAAGUAACUAUGCACGUAUUGACGGUACCUAAACAGAAAGCCACGGCUAACUACGUG
rnacentral:rRNA from 1 species